GAUGAAGAACGUAGCAAAAUGCGAUAAGUAAUGUGAAUUGCAGAAUUCAGUGAAUCAUCGAAUCUUUGAACGCACAUUGCGCCCGCUGGUAUUCCGGCGGGCAUGCCUGUUCGAGCGUCAUUACAACCCUCAAGCUCUGCUUGGUAUUGGGCCCCGCCAGUUCUGGCGGGCCCUAAAGUCAGUGGCGGUGCCUUCCGGCUCCGAGCGUAGUAAUUCUUCUCGCUCUGGAGACCCGGUUGUGUGCUUGCCAACAACCCCCAAUUUUUUAAGGUUGACCUCGGAUCAGGUAGGGAUACCCGCUGAACUUAAGCAUAUCAAUAAGCGGAGGA
rnacentral:misc_RNA from 1 species